GACGAACGCUGGCGGCGUGCCUAAUACAUGCAAGUCGAACGCAGUGGGGACGGGUGAGUAACACGUGGGUAACCUCCCAUCAGAGGGGAUAACACUUGGAAACAGGUGCUAAACCGAUACUGAUGGAUGGACCAGCGGUGCAUUAGCUAGUUGGUGAGGUAACGACUCACAAAGGCCACGAUGAAUAGCGGCCUUGAGAGGGGGAGAGGCCACCCUGGGACUGAGAAACGGCCCAGAUUCCUACGGGAGGCAGCAGUAGGGAAUCGUCGGCAAUGGACGAAAGUCUGACCGAGCAACGCCGCGGGAGUGAAGAAGGUUUUCGGAUCGUAAAACUCUGUUGUUAGAGAAGCGGUAUCUAACCAGAAAGCCACGGCUAACUACGUGCCAGCAGCCGCGGUAAUAC
rnacentral:rRNA from 1 species